rnacentral:lncRNA from 1 species
UAGAAGUUUCUAAAACCCACUCCCAAUCUCUCUGUGUAUUGAUAGACCAAUUUGAGACGGAAGGAUAUAGGAAAGAAAUAAGAAAUAAGAUAGUUCAAAAUUUCUAAUGUAAAAUUUCAUAAACUGUUAGAGAAACUCAACAAAUAUACUCUCAACUAAUUUUAGCCACUCAGAAAAUUUAUUGAUUUACCAAUUCUUUUCUUGAACUAUUGGAGAUGCUCUAUAUAGCUCUCUUCGAAACCCAUAAAUUUUUUUGUUUUCUGUAUUUUCUUUUUUGAAACUGAAUUGAUUUCCGUGAAAUUCCUGUCGACCGAGAAAUUUUUGCGUUCCAAAUGUCUUAACUCUAGUCU